rnacentral:rRNA from 1 species
AUAUUGGUCAAUGGCAGGAACCCUGAACUAGCUAUACCACGUUUGGGACGCCGGUCCUGGGAUUUUAAACCUCCGUGGUCGGGGAAGAUAAUGACGGUACCCUACGGGGAAGCCACGGCCAACUACGUGCUAGCAGCCGCGGUAAUACGUAGGUGGCAAGCGUUGUCCGGAAUUACUGGGUGUAAAGGGAGCGUAGGCGGGAAGGCAAGUUGAAUGUUAAAGCUAUCGGCUCAACCGAUAGCCGCGUUCAAAACUGUCUUUCUUGAGUGAAGUAGAGGCAAGCAGAAUUCCUAGUGUAGCGAUGAAAUGCGUAGAGAUUAGGAGGAAUACCAGUAGCGAAGGCGGCUUGCUGGGCUUUUACUGACGCUGAGGCUCGAAAGUGUGGGGAGCAAACA